GGUAGCGCUAUGGUGUAUUAUUGGGCGUAAGCGCGCGUAGGCGGUUUUUUAAGUCUGAUGUGAAAGCCCACGGCUCAACCGUGGAGGGUCAUUGGAAACUGGAAAACUUGAGUGCAGAAGAGGAAAGUGGAAUUCCAUGUGUAGCGGUGAAAUGCGCAGAGAUAUGGAGGAACACCAGUGGCGAAGGCGACUUUCUGGUCUGUAACUGACGCUGAUGUGCGAAAGCGUGGGGAUCAAACAGGAUUAGAUACCCUGGUAGUCCACGCCGUAAACGAUGAGUGCUAAGUGUUAGGGGGUUUCCGCCCCUUAGUGCUGCAGCUAACGCAUUAAGCACUCCGCCUGGGGAGUACGACCGCAAGGUUGAAACUCAAAGGAAUUGACGGGGACCCGCACAAGCGGUGGAGCAUGUG
rnacentral:rRNA from 1 species